rnacentral:siRNA from 1 species
UAAAUUAGAUGUAUUGCAUGCC